CGGGCCAGGGAGGGAUUGCCCUGCUCUGCUCUGGGCCGGGGCGGCCUCACCUGCAAUAUUGGGUGCAGCUCUGGAAUCACAACAUAAAAAAGGCAUUAAAGUGUCAGCAAGUGAGCAGAGGAGGCCGUGGGGAUGGCGCAGGGCCGUGAGGGGAAGCCGCGUGAGGAGCAGCUGAGGGCACUUGGUUUAUUGAGAUGGAGGAGAGUGAGGGGAGGCCUCACUGCAGCUCUGCAGCUGCCCCGUGAGGGGAAGAGGAGGGGCAGGCGCUGAUCUCUGCUCUGUGCUGACCAGGGAAUGGCCUGAAGUUGUGUCUGAGAGGUUUAGGUUGGAUAUUAGGAGAAGGAUCCUCCCCCAGAGGGUGUUUGGCCAUGGGAACAGGCUCUCCAGGGCAGUGCCAGAGUUAAAGAAGCAUUUGGACACCACUCUCAGGAACGUGGUGUGACUCUGGGGCUGUGAUGUGCAGGGAGAGGAAUUGAACAUGAUGGUCCUUGUGCUUGGAAGAGGAUCUGAUCACAGCUGAAUUGUACAAGCCUGCUUCUUACUACAAGAAAUGACAGCAAGGUGCUGUACAGAUGGAGACCAUUUGAUGUCUUCUGCAUCUGAGGACUUGCAUUUGACAGAUGGAGGGCAGGAUGAAGAAGCACCAGAGGGGAGCUGCCAAGUCAGUGGCUCCCAGCAGAUGGGUCCUUUUGAGGAGAAGGAGAACCAUGGCAUGAAAAAUCCCUACUAGAUUUCCAUCUGCUCUUCUGUAUAACUGAGGGAGAGACACCUGGGAAGUCUGUGACUCAAGGAUCAAACAGGGAGGUGUUUUACACCUCUUCAAAUAUGGGACUCAGUUACAGAUGGAUUAAGGAUGUGGGUUCUGGACCACAGAGGGUGUCAUCUCCAGGGACAUCUUUUAAGAAAGGAAUGCUGAGAGGAGAUACAUCUGUGUGGAAACACACCUCAGAUCUCAAGGGGAUGGUGCUGGAGAUGAGCCUGCAUGUCACUCCCCAAGUCACACCCACAUUUCAUUUGGGGUCAACAAGUUAUUUUGGUGUGUGGACACCCUAAGGAAUUCUUACCUGUGCAGAAACUGAGCCACAAUUCAAGAGGAAUUGUGCUGUGGGACACUCAGCAAGUGCUCCUAGUGGGCUUGGAGUGGAGAAGGAGCUCAGAAAGUGGCUAUGGUCAUUUAUAUUCUCUCUCCUCCUUCAUCAGGCCAAGCAAUACAGACAGAACAAUUUUCCCAGUUGUAGUAGAGCAAAUUCUUUUUAGUGUCCAGUGCAUUGAUACGUCUUGGGACUGAAACCCUUCGCAGCAAACAAAAUCCCCUGAUGCUGUGAUGGCUGGAGUGCCAGCACACUCCUGGUGUCUCAGAAGAGCUGUAAAUCCAAAGCCUGUGUGUCAUCUGACCCCAAGAUUCCAUAGCUGGGAGCCUUUGUAGGGAAAAGUGGGAUCUGGAAAGUUGUGUGAGACAUUGUUCUCCCAAUAUGAUGGUGAAGUAAACUGAUUCCAGCUCUUCCAGGCAAGGAGCAAAUCAGAAGCUGGGAGUAAUGGGAUAGACUAAUAAAAUUAUUCUCCUUUUAAUGAGGUAUUCACCAAAUUACUGAGGGGUAGAGUGGGCCUGGGGUCCCAGCCAGGGCUGUGGCUCCACCACUGGGGCCAAACUACACCUGUGCACCCACUGUCAGCUGUGGGAUCAUCCAGGGACAGGUUUUUUGGAGAGCACAUCUCCAGCUGACAUCACUGAGGUCUGUCCCUCAAAGUGGCAGCUAUCAAAGUGCCAUUUACGAGCAA